AGUGAACGCUGGCGGCGUGCCUAAUACAUGCAAGUCGAACGAUGAAGUCCUAGCUUGCUAGGUUGGAUUAGUGGCGCACGGGUGAGUAAUAUAUAGUUAAUCUGCCCUACACAGAGGAACAACAGUUGGAAACGACUGCUAAUACCUCAUACUCCUAUUUGACAUAAGUUAAAUAGGGAAAGUCUUUUCGGUGUAGGAUGAGACUAUAUCGUAUCAGCUAGUUGGUAAGGUAAUGGCUUACCAAGGCUAUGACGCGUAACUGGUCUGAGAGGAUGAUCAGUCACAUUGGAACUGAGACACGGUCCAAACUCCUACGGGAGGCAGCAGUAAGGAAUAUUGCGCAAUGGGGGAAACCCUGACGCAGCAACGCCGCGUGGAGGAUGACACUUUUCGGAGCGUAAACUCCUUUUAUCAGGAAAGAAUAAUGACGGUACCUGAUGAAUAAGCACCGGCUAACUCCGUG
rnacentral:rRNA from 1 species